GACACUGCGGCGUGUGGUCCAAGCAGCGCUCCAGACAGGUUUUACAGAAGGUGUGUCCGCAGGGUGUGGUCACAGGCUCGUACAACAACCUGCUUUCAACAACGGACGACAUUUCAAGCUGAGAGUCAGACGCAUGCUGUGAUGCAGCGCAUGGCGGCGUGCGGCGGGCCUCACCGCAUGCAGAGAGAACACUCAAAAUCGUUGGGGUCAACGAGGUUCUUGGGAACACUUCUGCAGGUCUUAGCCCGGAUUUUCGUCACACCUUCAAGUAGACACAAUGACAUCACUUUGGUCAGGCUGGAAAAGUCACUUCGUGAGUGCAGGACUUAUAUUUCAUGCCGAGGGACGAGUUUGAAAUGAAAGCCUUGCUAACAGCCAAGGACGAGCCGGCACCUGCACAAAGAUAAGAUAUAUCCACGGCAGACAAAGCAGAGAGAGGAACGUAAUCAGAAAGCCGCCAGCACAUUCCGUCACGUAAUGUGCGUACUGAGCUGCUUGCAUAAUGUGUGACCCCUCCCUCCUGAAGCAGCCUCAGCGAUGUAACUAGGGAAGUCCCAAAAUGAAUAAAUAGGGGAACGCGUGGACUGUUCCUCAAAGCGCAGGGUGAAACUGUAACUGAGUGUGCAGCUCCAUGCCUUCUCUUCAUGAGCUAAA